GUCGUUUGUUUAUCUGUUACAUAUUUGUUUUUCGUUCAUUUUUUUACAUAAAUAAGGCCGUUAGUUUUCUCGUUUGAAUUGUUUUACAUUGUCUUAUCGGGGCCUUUUAUAGCUGACUAUGCGGUACAGGCUUUGCUCAUUGUUGAAGGCCGUACGGUGACCUAUAAUUGUUAAUGUCUGUGUCAUUUUGGUCUUUUGUGGAUAGUUGUCUCAUUGGCAAUCAUACCACAUCUUCUUUUUUAUACAUUAUA
rnacentral:lncRNA from 1 species